UACAAGAAAAACAAAAAACUCGAGAGCUCAAUAAAAGAGAGUAACAUAGAAAAUAAAACCAAAAGAAUCAUGAAAUGUUUAGGAGUUCCCAAGAUAACAAUAUAUGAGAAGAGCAUCAAUUAAACUUCUUUAUCCUCUGCUCUCCUCUUUUUCUUUUCUUCUCUUCCCUUCUCUCUUCCUUUUCUUUUUCUCUCCCACUUUGUUUCACACCUUUUGACACACCAUCGUUUGCAUCACGUGAGCCCACCUCUUUUCCUAAUCGAGCUCAAUUUAAAGGACUUCACUCUGCCCAACUGAGUCUCUUUCCGACUCCAUCUGCACUAAUUAGCAAUUAGCAACCAAAAAAAGUCUCAAAGGCCUAAGUAGAUUUUUC
rnacentral:lncRNA from 1 species